CGAGUGAAGCGGCAAAAGCUCAAAUUUGAAAUCUGGCGUCUUUGGCGUCCGAGUUGUAAUUUGAAGAAGGUAUCUUUGGGCCCGGCUCUUGUCUAUGUUCCUUGGAACAGGACGUCACAGAGGGUGAGAAUCCCGUGCGAUGAGAUGACCCGGGUCUGUGUAAAGUUCCUUUGACGAGUCGAGUUGUUUGGGAAUGCAGCUCUAAGUGGGUGGUAAAUUCCAUCUAAAGCUAAAUAUUGGCGAGAGACCGAUAGCGAACAAGUACAGUGAUGGAAAGAUGAAAAGAACUUUGAAAAGAGAGUGAAAAAGUACGUGAAAUUGUUGAAAGGGAAGGGCUUGAGAUCAGACUUGGUAUUUUGCAUGCUGCUCUCUCGGGGGCGGCCGCUGCGGUUUACCGGGCCAGCAUCGGUUUGGAGCGGCAGGAUAAUGGCGGAGGAAUGUGGCACGGCUUCUGCUGUGUGUUAUAGCCUCUGACGAUACUGCCAGCCUAGACCGAGGACUGCGGUUUUUUUACCUAGGAUGUUGGCAUAAUGAUCUUAAGUCGCCCGUCUUGAAACACGGACCAAGGAGUCUAACGUCUAUGCGAGUGUUUGGGUGUAAAACCCGUACGCGUAAUGAAAGUGAACGAAGGUGGGGGCCCAUUAGGGUGCACCAUCGACCGAUCCUGAUGUGUUCGGAUGGAUUUGAGUAAGAGCAUAGCUGUUGGGACCCGAAAGAUGGUGAACUAUGCCUGAAUAGGGUGAAGCCAGAGGAAACUCUGGUGGAGGCUCGUAGCGGUUCUGACGUGCAAAUCGAUCGUCGAAUUUGGGUAUAGGG
rnacentral:rRNA from 1 species